rnacentral:tRNA from 5 species
UGCGGGGUGGAGCAGUCUGGUAGCUCGUCGGGCUCAUAACCCGAAGGUCAUUGGUUCAAAUCCUUUCCCCGCUACCA